UCCUCUGUAGUUCAGUCGGUAGAACGGCGGACUGUUAAUCCGUAUGUCACUGGUUCGAAUCCAGUCAGAAGAGCCA
rnacentral:tRNA from 1 species